GGGGAAUAUUGCACAGUGGGCGCAAGCCUGAUGCAGCGACGCCGCGUGGGGGAUGACGGCCUUCGGGUUGUAAACUCCUUUCGCUAGGGACGAAGCUUUUUGUGACGGUACCUAGAUAAGAAGCACCGGCUAACUACGUGCCAGCAGCCGCGGUAAUACGUAGGGUGCGAGCGUUGUCCGGAAUUACUGGGCGUAAAGGGCUCGUAGGUGGUUUGUCGCGUCGUCUGUGAAAUUCCGGGGCUUAACUCCGGGCGUGCAGGCGAUACGGGCAUAACUUGAGUACUGUAGGGGUAACUGGAAUUCCUGGUGUAGCGGUGAAAUGCGCAGAUAUCAGGAGGAACACCGAUGGCGAAGGCAGGUUACUGGGCAGUUACUGACGCUGAGGAGCGAAAGCAUGGGUAGCGAACAGGAUUAGAUACCCUGGUAGUCCAUGCCGUAAACGGUGGGCGCUAGGUGUGAGGGUCUUUUCACGACUUUCGUGCCGUAGCUAGCGCAUUAAGCGCCCCGCCUGGGGAGUACGGCCGCAAGGCUA
rnacentral:rRNA from 1 species